rnacentral:lncRNA from 1 species
CCUUCCAUCUGCUCCAAGCCCUGGCCUUGAGCACUUCCAGGGAUGGAGCAGCCUGAGAUUCCCGGGAUAACCAGUGCCAGGGCCUCACCACCCUGCAGUAAGGGUAGGGAUAUUCCUUGGGCUGAGGAAUCCCAAAUAUCCAGUCUCAGUCUCCCGUGUUUUGGUUUAAAAUUGUGUUUUCCAUUCCCUGGGAUUCUCCAUCUCCUGGGUUCUCCGUGGGGUGAGCACUCCAAGCUCUCUGAAUUCCUUAAAAAGGCCCCAAAUCUGUCCCCAUCCUCGGGACACCCUCAGCCCUGGGGAGCCACAGUGGGAAUUUGGCACCUCUGGAGCAGCUCAGCUGGAUCAGGAGGUUUGGGACAGCCAGAAUCCCUCUGGAUCCUCCUCCUGCAGGGCCAGCCCCAUCUCCCAGCCCAUCCUGACCCGGGGUUCUCUGCAUUCCUUGGCAUCCUCAGGGGAUCUUCCAGGGAAUCCUCGGCAUCUCCUCAGGGAUCUUCCCCUGCUCCCUCUGAGCUCUGCUGGGACCCUCUGGCAGCUUCCUCACAUCCCUCAGCAUCUCCUCCAGAGCCUUCCCUUGGGGAUUUUGGGGAUUUUGGCGUCUUCGUUGACAUCCCUCGGCGUCUUCCUGGCGUGUUCCUUGGCAUCUUCUCUGGCAUCUUCAUCCCCACCCCUGGGCAACUUCCCUGGGACCCCUGGGCACAUCUGGGACCCCUGGCAUCUUCUCUGGGACCCCUGGGCACGUUCCCUGGGCACAUUCCCUGGGAUCCCUGGGCACAUCUGGGACCACUGGGCACAUUCUGGGACCCCUGGGCACAUUCCCGGAUACCUGGGCACAUUCCUGGACCUUUCCUCUGGAUCUCUGGAUUCUUUGGGACCCCUGGGCACAUUCCUCUGUAUCUCUGGAUUCCCUGGGAUCCCUGGGCACAUUCCUGGACCCCUGGGCACAUUUCUGGGCUCAUUCCCGGCUCCCUGGGCUCGUUCCCGGCUCCCUGGGCACAUUUCUGGGGACAUUCCCGGCUCCCUGGGGCCAUUCCCGGCUCCCUCGGUCUCCUCUCCCCGCCCUGGGCUCGGCGAUCCCGAGGCUGUUCCCCCUCCGGACCCGACCUCGGGCCGCGGUUUUUUGGCCACGGGAGGGGCGGAUCCCGGCGGCGGCGGCGGCCGCGAGGCUCCUUUUUGGGAGGGAAAGGGUUAAAAUUCCAGGGGAGGGAAGGAG